UAAUAAGUGUUUUAUGGCACUUUUUAAAUCCACAUCCACCUUGUGUGCAAUGUCAGUCGAUCUUCUUCAUGGAGAUCGACCAAACAUCAACCUUUAUCUUUAAACUCUUUGUCUGAAAAAUAUUAUGAAUAAACAAUUCAAAAUACAACUUUCAAACAAACGGAUCUCUUGGCUCUCGGCAUCGAUGAAGAACGCAGCGAAAUGCGAUACGUAAUGUGAAUUGCAGAAUUCAGUGAAUCAUCGAAUCUUUGAACGCAUAUUGCGCUCUUUGGUAUUCCGAAGAGCGCAAUAUGCGUUCAAAGAUUCGAUGAUUCACUGAAUUCUGCAAUUCACAUUACGUAUCGCAUUUCGCUGCGUUCUUCAUCGAUGCGAGAGCCAAGAGAUCCGUUGUUGAAAGUUGUAUUUUGAAUUGUUUAUUCAUAAUAUUUUUCAGACAAAGAGUUAAAAGAUAAAGGUUGAUGUUUGGGUCGAUCUUCUUCAUGGAGAUCGACCAAACAUCAACCUUUAUCUUUUAAACUCUUUGUCUGAAAAAUAUUAUGAAUAAACAAUUCAAAAUA
rnacentral:misc_RNA from 1 species